rnacentral:misc_RNA from 1 species
UUGUUUUGGUUCUGCCGUGAGGCAUUACAUUAUGACAUUCAUUGACAUGGGGUAUGUAAGUUAGGCGAGGUGUUAGCCACCGCCGGUGCACAGGUGUAUGUGGAUGUGAAGGGUCGGAAAGGCUUGCGCCAGUCCUAUGUUUUCACUAAUGAUCCUUCCGCAGGUUCACCUACGGAAA